rnacentral:rRNA from 1 species
UACGUCUCAGUUCAGAUUGCAGGCUGCAACUCGCCUGCAUGAAGUCGGAAUUGCUAGUAAUCGCAGAUCAGCAUGCUGCGGUGAAUACGUUCCCGGGCCUUGUACACACCGCCCGUCACACCAUGGGAGUCGGAAAUGCCCGAAGCCGGUGACCCAACCAAAAGGAGGGAGCCGUCGAAGGCAGGUCUGAUAACUGGGGUGAAGUCGUAACAAGGUAGC